rnacentral:rRNA from 1 species
AUUGAACGCUGACGGCAGGCCUAACACAUGCAAGUCGAGCGGAGCGGCGGACGGGUGAGUAAUGUCUGGGAAUCUGCCUGUUAGUGGGGGAUAAAGUCCGGAAACGGGCGCUAAUACCGCAUAAUAUCGGAUGAGCCUAGGUCGGAUUAGCUAGUUGGUGGGGUAAAGGCCUACCAAGGCGACGAUCCGUAACUGGUCUGAUAGGCUGAUCAGUCACACUGGAACUGAGACACGGUCCAGACUCCUACGGGAGGCAGAAGUGGGGAAGAUUGGACAAUGGGCGAAAGCCUGAUCCAGCCAUGCCGCGUGUGUGAAGAAGGUCGUCGGAUUGUAAUGCACUUUAAGUUGGGAGGCGUUACCAACAGAAUAAGCACCGGCUAACUUCGUGCCAGCAGCCGCGGUAAUUC